CCUCCUCCUCCUCCCCCGGGCCGGGAUGAGAUCACCUCAGCCGGCCGCCGGCUGUCCCCGCGCUCCCAACAAAUCGACUCCUAGGCGAGCGCCGGCAUCUCAUGAUCUCAUGGCCCCGCGGGACGGCGCCGGCCGAUGAGGUCACAGCCCCGCGCCGCGGGCUCGCGGCGCCUCCGGACACCGAGCCCCCGGCCCCCGGCCCUCAGGCCUCCCCGCCUGGAGGGCCAAAGCCACCUUUGCUGUUCUUUUACGCCUCUGGGUCCGCCCUCUCCCGCCCUUGUUUGCUAACAGGUCGCCCCUAAGGCCAGCAGAGGGUGACCGCCGUGGCUGCGCGCCUCGUGAACCCCGAGGUGCGUGGACACGACCUACCUGACGGGCCGUGCGAGGGGACACAGCUCUCGGCCCUGUCUCCCAGACGAGGGAGCCGGGGUGCCCCCGCAGGGCAGAGGCCCGUCACUCCGACUCCCUUCCUGCACCCCAGACCUCUGCAGCAGCCUCUCCCUGCUCCCGGGAGAACAGCGGCCGCGGCCACACUGGCCAGGCGCCCACGAGACACUGGGCAGUUAGUGUUUCGGGUCCCUGCCCCACCGGAGGGGGAUUGCACGGGCCGUUCCACACGGCGGGUCCGCAGGGGUGAGUGACUUGCUGCGGAGCGGGGGUUUGUACCAGGUGCCCUUGACCCUACAGCAGACACUGGUACCCUGAAAAAGACGCCGGCCAGCAGCCCUCCCGGCCCCACGCGUCAAAGCAGCUGGAAGGGGAGAGCUCACCGCGCCCUGGCACCGGUCAGCGCCUGUCCCCGAAGGCGCAUGGGGCAGGGCGUUACUUCCCGGCCACUUUGCAGAGGAAUGUGAAGUGGUUCAAAGAGUUAAAAAGAAUGAUGCCGAGACCCAGAUACUCCACUUCAAGCUAUUUACCCGGAACUCUUCAGAGAAGGACUUGCACACAAGCAUUCACAGUACAAUAGCCAAAAAGUGGAAGGAGCCCAAAUGCCUAUCCCUGGAUGAACGGCUAAGCCGACUGUGGCCUGGCACACAGUGGAAUAUUACACAGCCACAGAAAGGAAUGGAGUACUGAUGCUACCAUGUGGAGGAACCUUGGGAGUAUCAUGCAAACCAAAGGCAGCCAGACACAAAGGGCCACCCAUUGUACAGCUGCGUUCCUGGACGUGUCCAGAACAGGGGAGGUGUUUUGUUGUCUGUUGGCAUAGACUCAGCUGAGCUCCUCACCUUGAAGGAAACUGGUGCCUGGACACUAGCCUCUGUGAGUAUAUGAUUUGUCCACUCUGCCACAAGGACCACACAAAGAUGCUACCAGACAUCUAAAGAAGAACUAACUAACUCCACUUCUCAAGUUAUUCAAAAUAAUCAAAAGGGAGGGAAUACUCCCAAAUUAUUUCUAUGAAGUCAGCAUCACCUUAAUUCUAAACUUGAAAACAAUACAACAGAGAAAGAGUACAGGCCAGGUUCCCUGAUGAACACAGACGCAAAAAAUCCUAAACUAAAUUCUGGCCAACUGAAUCCAACAACACACCAGAAAGGUCAUUCACCCAGACCACGUGGGAGUUAUCCCUGGUAUGCAGGGAUGGUUCAACAUUCACAAAUCAAUGUGAUACACCACUUUAACAAACUGCAGAAUAAAAACCAUAUGAUUAUCUCAAUAGAUGCAGAGAAAGCAUUUGAUAAACUACAACACCCUUUCAUGAUGAAAACUCUAAGCAAAUUGGGUAUAGAAGGAA